AUUUAGUAAAUUUAAAAAGAUUAAAUCAAAAUUGUUAUUCAAUAAAAUUUUCUAAGAGAAUUGGCGGUGAUUAAAUAUAUUUUGAGAAACUUGUAUAUUAAGUGAUAUUACACAGAUUAUCUUACCUAAUUCUAUUUAUUUAUGUAUUGCUGUUUAAUUUAUAAUUUAAUAUAAAAAUAAAUAAGAUUAUUAAUGAAUAAGAAAUUCAAGUCAAAAUGUAGUUUUUUUAGGUUUAUAUGAGUUGCUUUUUUAUGUGUAAGAAAAAUAAAAAUUUAAAUAUUUUUUUAUUAUUGGAUUAAAAUGUAAAAUGAAGGUAGUUAGUUUAUUUGAUAAUUUUGUUAUCAUGU
rnacentral:rRNA from 1 species